AAGCUCGAUGGAGGGGGAUAACUACUGGAAACGGUAGCUAAUACCGCAUAACGUCGCAAGACCAAAGAGGGGGACCUUGGGCCUCUUGCCAUCGGAUGUGCCCAGAUGGGAUUAGCUAGUAGGUGGGGUAAAGGCUCACCUAGGCGACGAUCCCUAGCUGGUCUGAGAGGAUGACCAGCCACACUGGAACUGAGACACGGUCCAG
rnacentral:rRNA from 1 species